GAUGAACGCUGACAGAAUGCUUAACACAUGCAAGUCAACUUGAACUUCGGUUUGGGUGGCGGACGGGUGAGUAACGCGUAAAGAACUUGCCUCACAGAUAGGGACAACAUUUGGAAACGAAUGCUAAUACCUGAUAUUAUGAUUUUAGGGCAUCCUAGGAUUAUGAAAGCUAUAUGCGCUGUGAGAGAGCUUUGCGUCCCAUUAGCUAGUUGGAGAGGUAACGGCUCACCAAGGCGAUGAUGGGUGGCCGGCCUGAGAGGGUGAUCGGCCACAAGGGGACUGAGACACGGCCCUUACUCCUACGGGAGGCAGCAGUGGGGAAUAUUGGACAAUGGACCAAGAGUCUGAUCCAGCAAUUCUGUGUGCACGAUGAAGUUUUUCGGAAUGUAAAGUGCUUUCAGUUGGGAAGAAAAAAAUGACGGUACCAACAGAAGAAGUGACGGCUAAAUACGUGCCAGCAGCCGCGGUAAUACGUAUGUCACAAGCGUUAUCCGGAUUUAUUGGGCGUAAAGCGCGUCUAGGUGGUUAUAUAAGUCUGAUGUGAAAAUGCAGGGCUCAACUCUGUAUUGCGUUGGAAACUGUGUAACUAGAGUACUGGAGAGGUAAGCGGAACUACAAGUGUAGAGGUGAAAUUCGUAGAUAUUUGUAGGAAUGCCGAUGGGGAAGCCAGCUUACUGGACAGAUACUGACGCUGAAGCGCGAAAGCGUGGGUAGCAAACAGG
rnacentral:rRNA from 1 species